AGGACUUGUGGGGCUCAGGGCUCCCCUGGGGGUCCGAUGGGGGUCCCAUGGGGGUCCAUGGAGGAUUUGUGGGGCUCAUGGGGUCCCCAGGGGGGUCCAUGAAGGACUAGUGGGUCCCAUGGGGAUCCCAUGGGGGUCCGAUGUGGGUCUGAUGGGGGUCCCUGGAAAACUUGUGGGGCUCAGGGGGUCCCAUGGGGUCUGAUGGGGGUCCAUGUAGGACUUGUGGGGCUCAGGGGGACCCAUGGGGGUCCGAUUUGGGUUGGAUAUGGGUGCUAUAGGGGUCCAAGGAGGACUUAUGGGGCUCAGGAGUCCCAUGUGGGUCAGAUGUGGGUGCUAUGGGGGUCCCUGGAGGACUUGUGGGGCUCAGUGGGUCCCAUGUGGGUCUGCUGUGGGUGCUAUGUGGGUGCUAUGGGGGUCCAUGGAGGACUUGUGGGGCUCAGUGGGGCUCAGGGGUCCCAUGUGGGUCAGAUGUGGUUCAGAUGUGGGUGCUAUGGGGGUCCAUGAAGGACUUGUGGGGCUCAAGGGCUCCCCAUGGGGGUCCCAUGGGGGUCCACGGAGGACUUGUGGGGCUCAGGGGUCCCAUGUGGGUGAGCUGUGGGUCGAUAUGGGUCAGCUGUGGGUCAGCUGUGGGUCGGAUGUGGGUCCCAUGUGGGUCAGCUGUGUGUGCUAUGGGGCGGUUACCGGCGCUGUGCACGGAGACGGCGCAUGCGACGAGCGAGUAGCUGGUGUUGAGCAGCACCACCCCGUCCUGCUUGAGCUGCAGCGCGGGCUGGAACGUGGGGAACGGGUACACGACCUGGAACUUGGUGUGCAGCAGGAAACCGUGACGCAGGCAGCUGGGCAGGCCUGGGGGGGGACAUUGGGUUAUGGGGGGGUAUGGGGGGGCAAUGGGGGUUGGGGUGUUAGGGGGGCUAUGGGGGGCAGUGGGGCUGGGGAGGACUAUUGGGGUUGGGGCAAUGGGGGCUAUGGGGGCUUGGGGGGGCUAUUUGGGCUAUGGGGAUGGGGGACUAUGGGGCUGGGGUGGCUAUUGGGGAUUAUGGGGGGAUAUGGAGGGAUACGGGGAUAUGGGGGGGAUAUGGGGGAUAUGGGGAUAUGUGAUAUGGGUAUGGGGGGAUUAUGGGGGAUAUUUGGGGGUAUGGGGGGAUUAUGGGGGGAAUAGGGGUAUGGGGGGAUAUGAGAGAAAA
rnacentral:lncRNA from 1 species